rnacentral:tRNA from 1 species
GAGGGUGUAGCUCAAGCAGUAGAGUGCGUGCUUAGCAUGCCCGAGGUCCUGGGUUCAAUCCCCAGCACCUCCU